CGUAGCACUGGAUACUUCCCCGCCUCGCACCACUCGGCGCCAGCUGCUCUGACUUCUCCCCCACCCCACUGACACUCUCUCACGUCGGCGACUCACCCCCCACCCCUCGAGUCACGCGGCACCUACUAAUGGCCGCGGGAUCUCGCCGCCCGCACCGCCGGAGAUGAAGCCCCGCCAUCUCCCGCCGGUCCUUGUACUCGCCUUGCUUUCCCUCCUCUCACUUUCCCUCCGCCGCCAACUCACCCCCCUACAGCCGCCGCUUCGCCCCGCGGCCGGGGACCCGCUCCUUCGUCGCCUCGCCGCGGUGGAAGGUGUGGGAUCCGAGCAAGUCCUUGCCGACGCGGCUGCACUGCUCGUGAAUGGCUCGAUAUCCACGUUCCCCAGCCUUGGCAACCGCCAGCGCCUCCUCUACCUCCGCCUCCCGUUCGCCCGCACCGCCCGCGGCCCGCCGAGGCCGAGGACCGUGUCCCGCCUCCGCAUCCCCGCGGAGGCACUCCCCUCCGACGAAUCCCUGCUCGCGUCCUUCCGCACGUCCCUCCACUCCUUCCUCCUCGCCCACCACCGCCGCCGCCGGGGCGGAACCGGUAAUGUGGCCAGCGUCAUGAGCUCGCUCGCCGGCGUCCUCGGACGGCGCUUCCCGACCUGCGCGGUCGUCGGGAAUAGCGGCGCGCUCCUCGGCUCCGGCCGCGGACCGCAGAUCGACGCGCACGAGCUCGUCAUCCGCCUCAACAACGCACGCGUGGCCGGCUUCGUCGCCGACGUCGGCGCCAAAACCUCGCUCUCCUUCGUCAACUCCAACAUCCUCCACCUCUGCGCGUCCCGCAGUGCCGCCACCGCCGCAGGCUGCGGGUGCCACCCGUAUGGCCCCACCGUGCCCAUGGCCAUGUACAUCUGCCAGCCAGCGCACCUCCUGGACGCCCUCAUCUGCAACGCAACCGCCACCCACGCCUCCCCAUUCCCGCUCCUCGUCACCGACGCGCGCCUGGACGCGCUCUCGGCGCGCAUUGCCAAGUACUACUCGAUUCAGCGAUUCGUGUCGGACACGGGUGCUCCGGCGAGCAACUGGACCCGGAAGCACGACGAGAGGUACUUCCACUAUUCCUCAGGUAUGCAGGCGGUGGUGAUGGCGCUUGGGGUGUGCGAGGAACUGAGCCUAUUCGGGUUCGGCAAGCCGGCAGGGGCCAAGCACCAUUAUCACACCAACCAGAAGAAGGAGCUGGACCUGCACGACUACCAGGCGGAGUACGAUUUCUACGGCGACCUCCAGGCGCGACCGGAGAUGGUGCCGUUCCUUGACGAGGCCCAAGGCUUCACGGUGCCGCCGGUCAGGUUGUACUGAACAAACACAAAACGUUGAUUUCUCAUUACAAGACUGGCCUGCAAAAUAUCUGGUAAGUCCAAUGUGGUGCAAACUGUUGUAGAUUGUUUCAGUCAUUAUGUAAUUUUUUGUCCGACAGAUUGCCUUGCUCUUUUCUUUUUAUGAACACAAUUAGCAUUAGUUAGAAUUAGAGUUUUCUGUAUAACUUGCCAUUUUGGCAGGAACAAAAAUUGAAGUACUGUAGUACUGCUGCGCUCUCAUUAUGCAUCCAUGACUCGCUUCAUUUGGAUCCCAAGGCAGAUGUUAUCUCUGUUAUAUGAGCAAUGCUACUUUGAGGUUGUUGUUUAUCAAAGUACUACUGUAGCUUUUUGUGCUCUUUACAUUCGUCACUUUUCUGGAGUAAUCUUUCUCAUCGGUUAAUUAGAUAAAUGACAUUACAAUUAUGCCACCUCGACUUAGAGAAAUGCUACUACAACUUUUCUCUUUGAAAAAAUGCCACCCGAAUUUGUGUCACACCUGCAGAUGCAGAUAUUGCUUUUGGCUCUAGGGAGUAUAUGCUCCUGCACGUCAAAAAUGUAUUUUGCCAAGGUCAAUUUUUUAUUUUAAAAAAUAGAUGUGUUCGUUGUGACACCAAAAUGCUACCUACAAACUUUUAGGGGAAAAGCUUAAGCAUGUGGAUGUGUGCAAAAAAAAGUCAAACAACAAAUGUCACCUUCAAAUGGUAUACUUAAUUUUGAUUUUUCAUCGACGAAGUACUGCUAUCCGUUUUCCAUGAAAAUUGGCAAGCACACUGGUACACUAACACGAACAUUUACAAAAAAAAAAUCUGAAUUUUAAAAUUUAUUUCCUAUUUGUUUUUAAUAACUAUUUACCAGUGAGCGUGCGCUCCCUAGAUCCAAAACUCCGUGUCCCCUAUAGAUGCCAUUAUGUAAAAUUUUAGACGAUAAUACUUGUAUCUUCUUCCCGCAAAAAAAAAAAAAAAACUUGUAUCUUCUUCCUUGGCAUUUUUUCUUCCAUCCUCCGAAUCCUAAUCUCCUCAUGUUUUCCGUGUGAGAAUGUUUCCAAAUCUUAGCCAGGGUGUGUCGUUUUGUUAGCAUUACUGCUACUACCUAAGCAUAUGCCCAAAAGAAACAAGAGCCCACACAUUGUGAAGCCCAAGUAUGAGGAAAAUACAUGAAGAUGUCCUACGCCAAGGUCACCGGAAGCUGGUGGGUAGCUGCCGUCACGUUUGUCUCAAAAAAAAAAACUGCCGUCACGUAAGUGGAUCCGAGAGGAGAAGCAUCGAAGAUCGAUCACGGCAACGGCUCGGUGGCUGACGGUGUUACGGGUUAGGGGUGCCUCGAGUCAUUGGACGUCGGUCCAUCAGGCUGUUUGAUGUGGAGCAUUCUAUGGACAUCAUCAUGUUAAAAGUCUAUUUGUCAAGUGACACGUGCAACCUCUACUUCACAUACAUAAAGGUAUUGCCGGAGCUUAACGGAUGACGACGAGGAGUGCAAGCGCCAAGAAACAUCUACACCAUCCGCGAGGGAAGCGUGGAAGCGAAGACAGAAGAAGACGGAGCUACAGCAAAGCUACAACCACCGGACGUCCGACGCGACCACGCCCAGGCCAGCUAGAAGAACCGCAACCGGUGCACGCUACAGCGGCCGGACGGCCGACGAGAUGCCGGACGUCCGACACACUACAACCACCACACGACUGACCGCUACCGGAAAUCCGGCGACACCUGUACAAAGAAGAAAUGUUGGAAGUCCGACGCCCUCCAGACGUCCGGACCCCCGCGAGCCACGGGACGACCGACGUCCCUCGGACGUCCGACGCCUGCCAGUGCACAGCCGGGCUUUUGGCUUUGUAUCCCUUUCCCACUUACCCCUUCGUGGCUUAGACUAUAAAUAGACCUCCCUCUCCUUUCUAGGCUUAGCAAAGUGAUAGCUCAUUUGUAUGUGAGUUUUGCUCCUAUUUACUCUACUCUACUGUUGAGAGAGAGAGACCACUCCAUUGGAGUUCAAGACCUCCUUUGGAGAAGAUCCCAUAGGGGAAUCAAGACCGGAAGAUCCAUCUCGGAUUCAAGACCUCAACUCCUCACGGAUUGGGAUGAACUAGCUACCGUUUGUAUCGUCCUUUGUUGGGUAUGGAUCGUGUAUCUCUCCGUGUGUAUGUGGAUCUAGCACAUGUGUAACCGUUUCUCGUUGAUUUGA